rnacentral:rRNA from 1 species
AUUGAACGCUGGCGGCAGGCCUAACACAUGCAAGUAGAACGCAGUUGCGAACGGGUGAGUAACGCGUAGGUAACUGCCUCAUAGCGGGGGAUAAAUAUUGGAAACGAUAGCUAAUACCGCAUACUGUGAGAUGGACCGGCGUUGUAUUAGCUAGGUGGUGAGGUAAAGGCUCACCAAGGCGACGAUACAUAGCCGGCCUGAGAGGGUUAUCGGCCACACGGGGACUUAGGCCCUGCCCCGACUCCUACGGGAGGCAGCAGUAGGGAAUCUUCGUCCAUGGACGGAAGUCUGACCGAGCAACGCCGCGUGAGGGAAGAAGGUUUUCGGAUCGUAAAGCUCUGUUGUUAGAGAAGCGGUACCUAACCAGAAAGGGACGGCUAACUACGUGCCAGCAGCCGCGGUAAUAC